rnacentral:sRNA from 1 species
AAAUAUUAUCUUCAUGCAGAAGAGAACGAGGAUACUAAUAGUUU